rnacentral:tRNA from 1 species
CAAAAAUUGACCGCUCCAGCGGGGUUCGAACCCGCGUCUCCGACUUACCGUGUCGGCGCUCUAGCCAAUUAAGCUAUGGAACGAUACACCCGCCCGAGCGAAAUUUUCGAUAUGAUAAUUUUAAAUUACGGUUUAAGCGAACCGUGGCGCCGUCUAUAGUGAGCUCUUUACAGAAACCCGUAACUAUUCAAAGUUUCAUAUUACAAUGAAAAUCUUUGACAGGAGACGACACCGUGCUAUUUUUAAUAUCUAAGAUUUUUAUUUUUGUGUUACCCACAUUAGGAAUUCUAAACAUUUUUGAAUAUCAUAUCAAAAAUUGACCGCUCCAGCGGGGUUCGAACCCGCGUCUCCGACUUACCGUGUCGGCGCUCUAGCCAAUUAAGCUAUGGAACGAUACCCCGCUGGAGCGGUCAAUUUUUGAUAUGAUAUUCAAAAAUGUUUAGAAUUCCUAAUGUGGGUAACACAAAAAUAAAAAUCUUAGAUAUUAAAAAUAGCACGGUAUCUCGGAGACGCGGGUUCGAACCCCGCUGGAGCGGUCAAUUUUUGAUAUGAUAUUCAAAAAUGUUUAGAAUUCCUAAUGUGGGUAACACAAAAAUAAAAAUCUUAGAUAUUAAAAAUAGCACGGUGUCGUCUCCUGUCAAAGAUUUUCAUUGUAAUAUGAAACUUUGAAUAGUUACGGGUUUCUGUAAAGAGCUCACUAUAGACGGCGCCACGGUUCGCUUAAACCGUAAUUUAAAAUUAUCAUAUCGAAAAUUUCGCUCGGGCGGGUGUAUCGUUCCAUAGCUUAAUUGGCUAGAGCGCCGACACGGUAAGUCGGAGACGCGGGUUCGAACCCCGCUGGAGCGGUCAAUUUUUGAUAUGAUAUUCAAAAAUGUUUAGAAUUCCUAAUGUGGGUAACACAAAAAUAAAAAUCUUAGAUAUGAUAGCAGUUGUAAAACAAUAUAAUUAGAUAUAUAUAAAACUUGGCUAUCAUUGGGGGUUUUUUAC